rnacentral:rRNA from 1 species
UUCGCAAUGCCCGAAAGGGUGACGAAGCGACGCCGCGUGGGUGAGGAAGGCCUUCGGGUUGUAAAGCCCUGUCAGGAGUUAAGAAAUGUAGACUCGCUAAUAUCGGGUCUAUUUGACAAAGGCUCCAAAGGAAGCCACGGCUAACUCUGUGCCAGCAGCCGCGGUAAUACAGAGGUGUCAAGCGUUGUUCGGAAUUAUUGGGCGUAAAGAGCACGUAGGUGGAUUUGUAAGUCAGACGUGAAAGCCUUCUGUUCAACGGAAGAAUUGCAUCUGAAACUACAAACCUUGAGUGUAGGAGGGGAGAAUGGAACUUCUGGUGGAGCGGUGAAAUGCGUAGAUAUCAGAAGGAACGCCGGCGGCGAAAGCGAUUCUCUGGCCUAUUACUGACACUCAGUGUGCGAAAGCUAGGGGAGCAAACGGGAUUAGAUACCCCGGUAGUCCUGGCCGUAAACGAUGGGCACUAAGUAGAGGGGUUUU